CAGACACUUCUUACGUUCUGAAUAGGCAGCAAGGAUUCUGGCAAUGCUGCCGGCAGGUGAAUGACUGAAGCCAAGCAGCGCCCUCUGCUGCCUCGUCCUCCAUCCUGCACCCAAGGCCCAGGGCUUUGCUGCUUGGCAACGCGGCAGAGGCAUCAGAUUAACAGACAUCUCCCAGUGAAAAUGUGCUGCGGUCCAUGGGGAGAGUAAAUGUGCAGAGCUUGGUGGAAAGAGGUGACACGUCAGGAAGGUGCUGGAAAGAGUGGAGGCACCUGCCUGAUGGCAAUAGACAGCGGAUUAAAUGGUGAUGGAGAAGAUGAAGCACCUGAUCUUUUUUCUCUCAUGGGUGAACAAGCAUGAGGUGCCACCAUGGCUUUGCCUCCAGUGCAGUUAUUCAAGACAGGCUCUCCUCUCUCUACCCUGUUGACCUUCUGAUACAGUAUAUGAAGACAACGACUCCGUGGGCACACACAUCCUCCCCCCAAUGUGUCAAAAAGACCUCAGGAAAACCAUCACAUCCUGCUAUGCUCCAUCAGAAAUAACCUUCCAUUAUUAGGAGGCAUAUAAAUAAGGAGAAUUAUUUAUGUGUGUUAUUUAUAUAUUGCCCAACAACCAAGGGCCUCUGGGAGGCUUACAAGGUAAUAAGGAAUCCAGCCAAGCAGAAAUAAAAUGGAACGAGGGGUGCCAAUUUCCUUCUCCCCUUCCUUCUUUACAUAAUGUUGCAUGUCGCCUCCAUCUCUGAAUGGUAUUGUUUUACCAGGGUUUGGCUUCCUUGACAUGAAGGACAACAGAGACUGUGGUGU